rnacentral:rRNA from 1 species
GAUGAACGCUGGCGGCGUGCUUAACACAUGCAAGUCGAACGGUGAACACGGAGCUUGCUCUGUGGGAUCAGUGGCGAACGGGUGAGUAACACGUGAGCAACCUGCCCCUGACUCUGGGAUAAGCGCUGGAAACGGCGUCUAAUACUGGAUAUGUGACGUGAUCGCAUGGUCUGCGUCUGGAAAGAAUUUCGGUUGGGGAUGGGCUCGCGGCCUAUCAGCUUGUUGGUGAGGUAAUGGCUAACCAAGGCGUCGACGGGUAGCCGGCCUGAGAGGGUGACCGGCCACACUGGGACUGAGACACGGCCCAGACUCCUACGGGAGGCAGCAGUGGGGAAUAUUGCACAAUGGGCGCAAGCCUGAUGCAGCAACGCCGCGUGAGGGAUGACGGCCUUCGGGUUGUAAACCUCUUUUAGCAGGGAAGAAGCGAAAGUGACGGUACCUGCAGAAAAAGCGCCGGCUAACUACGUG